rnacentral:rRNA from 1 species
UACGUAGGGUGCGAGCGUUGUCCGGAAUUACUGGGCGUAAAGGGCGCGUAGGCGGCCUUCUAAGUCGAACGUGAAAUCCCCGGGCUCAACCCGGGAACUGCGUCCGAUACUGGAAGGCUUGAAUCCGGGAGAGGGAUGCGGAAUUCCAGGUGUAGCGGUGAAAUGCGUAGAUAUCUGGAGGAACACCGGUGGCGAAGGCGGCA